rnacentral:rRNA from 1 species
UACGAGGGGGGCAAGCGUUGUUCGGAAUUAUUGGGCGUAAAGGGCGCGUAGGCGGUGCGGUAAGUCUGAUGUGAAAUCUCACAGCUUAACUGUGAAACUGCAUUGGAUACUAUCCGGCUCGAGGAAUGGAGGGGAGACUGGAAUACUUGGUGUAGCAGUGAAAUGCGUAGAUAUCAAGUGGAACACCAGUGGCGAAGGCGAGUCUCUGGACAUUUCCUGACGCUGAGGCACGAAAGCCAGGGGAGCAAACAGG